rnacentral:misc_RNA from 1 species
CCUCACAGUCCCUGACGUCCUGAGCGACGUGGAGAAGCAUUCCGACAUUGAGUGCCCAGAUGAUAAACACACGGCAAGAGGUCAACAUCGCUAUGAGGGAGGAUUCGGCUGUGAAGUCGCCAAAUAUCGAAUCAGUUCUCGAGGAAUGUAAAAUCUCACGUGAGACUCACGUAUGUGUUACUGAUGUCGAUGGAGUAAAAAAUGGCAGUAAUAAUAUCCGAGACCAAAAAAAUGCUCGUCACCAUCAUCCAUGGUCCUCUGAGUAGCAGACCGUUCCGUCCUCUCGAUUCGGACAACGUCGCAA